rnacentral:lncRNA from 1 species
AAGCAAAAGAGUGUAAUAACGAUUGCUAGUACUCCAUAUGAGAAUUUCUAUACGGAAAAAUAGAAGAGAUAGUAUCAUCAUAAAAUAAUGCAACGGGAUGGAAACUCAAGAGGUAUAUUUGAUAUCACAACAUUUAUUGAUAUACCUUAAAGGUAAGCAAUUUACUUUUUUCUUUCAAAUUCUUGAAAUUCUACGACUUGAUUUCAUAUACAAACAUAGACAACAAAGUUUGAUUAUAACUCUAAUGGAGUUUGUAAGGAAUUUUAACCACGUGAAGUGGUAAAAGUUCUAUAUCUUGCCAUGAUUAAAUUCAUGUAUGAUUGUGGGCAAAGAAUUGAAAAUCCGUCCCAUUGAAUUUGCUUCAUUCUCAUUCCCUUUAGAGAANNN